CUUGUUUGCUAGUUUCAGCUAGUGGACAGACAACUCGAUUAUCAACUGAAAACUGAUUAUCAAGAGACAAGUGACGAACAAAAAACGAAACCUAGUUUGGCUCGAUCACGUGACUUACAGGGAAACGAUUACAGCCAGGUGUGUUUGGUGAUACAGUUAAAGUGGAGUCAGUGUCAGUGCUGGAGGGAGAUUCAGUCACUCUAGACUCUGGUUUUACUGAAAUGAUGGAUGAAGAUCUGAUUCUGUGGAGGUUUGGAUCUGAAAACACUUUAAUAGCUGAAAUCAGUGUAAUGACAAACAGCAUGACUGUAUAUGAUGAUGAUCUUGGUGGGAGAUUCAGAGACAGACUGAAGCUGGAUCAUCAAACUGGAUCUCUCAUCAUCUCAAACACCAGAACUGAACACACUGGACUCUAUCAACUACAGACCAGCAGUGUGAGAAGGAACUUCACUCUCACUGUCUAUGCUUCUUUACCCAAGCCUAACAUCACCAGAAAUUGUUCAUCAUCAUCAUCAUUAUCAUCAUCAUCUCCAUCAUCAUCAUCAUCAUCAUCACAGCAGAAUU